rnacentral:rRNA from 1 species
GUACGGGGGGGGCAAGCGUUGUUCGGAAUUACUGGGCGUAAAGGGCUCGUAGGCGGCCAACUAAGUCGGAUGUGAAAUCCCCAGGCUUAACCUGGGAACUGCAUCCGAUACUGGAUGGCUUGAAUCCGGGAGAGGGAUGCAGAAUUCCAGGUGUAGCGGUGAAAUGCGUAGAUAUCUGGAGGAAUACCGGUGGCGAAGGCGGCAUCCUGGACCGGCAUUGACGCUGAUGAGCGAAAGCUAGGGGAGCAAACGGGG